UUCCGGUUGAUCCUGCCGGACCUGACUGCUAUCGGAUUGAUACUAAGCCAUGCGAGUCAUUGUAGCAAUACAAGGCAGACGGCUCAGUAACGCGUAGUCAACCUAACCUAUGGACGGGAAUAACCUCGGGAAACUGAGAAUAAUGCCCGAUAGAACACUAUAUCUGGAAUGGUUUGUGUUCCAAAUGAUUUAUCGCCGUAGGAUGGGACUGCGGCCUAUCAGUUUGUUGGUGAGGUAAUGGCCCACCAAGACUAUUACAGGUACGGGCUCUGAGAGGAGUAGCCCGGAGAUGGGUACUGAGACACGGACCCAGGCCCUAUGGGGCGCAGCAGGCGAGAAAACUUUGCAAUGUGCGAAAGCACGACAAGGUUAAUCCGAGUGGUUUGUGCUAAACGAACCUUUUGUCGGUCCUAGAAACACCGAUGAAUAAGGGGUGGGCAAGUUCUGGUGUCAGCCGCCGCGGUAAAACCAGCACCUCAAGUGGUCAGGAUGAUUAUUGGGCCUAAAGCAUCCGUAGCCGGCGCUAUAAGUUUUCGGUUAAAUCUGUACGCUCAACGUACAGGCUGCCGGGAAUACUGUAGCGCUAGGGAGUGGGAGAGGUAGACGGUACUCGGUAGGAAGGGGUAAAAUCCUUUGAUCUAUUGAUGACCACCUGUGGCGAAAGCGGUCUACCAGAACACGUCCGACGGUGAGGGAUGAAAGCUGGGGGAGCAAACCGGAUUAGAUACCCGGGUAGUCCCAGCUGUAAACUAUGCAAACUCAGUGAUGCAUUGGCUUGUGGCCAAUGCAGUGCUGCAGGGAAGCCGUUAAGUUUGCCGCCUGGGAAGUACGUACGCAAGUAUGAAACUUAAAGGAAUUGGCGGGGGAGCACCACAAGGGGUGAAGCCUGCGGUUCAAUUGGAUUCAACGCCGGA
rnacentral:rRNA from 2 species